rnacentral:rRNA from 1 species
AGCAGCCGCGGUAAUUCCAGCUCCAAUAGCGUAUAUUAAAGUUGUUGCAGUUAAAAAGCUCGUAGUUGAAUUUCGGGGUCAAUAAGUUGGUCAUGCCAAUGGUAUGCACUGGCUUUAUUGAUUCCUACCUCUUGACGAACUGUGAUGCCAUUAAUUUGGUGUUGCAAGGAAUCAGGACUGUUACCUUGAAAAAUUAGAGUGUUUAAAGCAAGCUUACGCUUGAAUACAUUAGCAUGGAAUAAUGAAAUAGGACGUUUGAUCCUAUUUUGUUGGUUUCUAGGAUCGACGUAAUGAUUAAUAGGGAUAGUUGGGGGCAUUAGUAUUCAAUUGUCAGAGGUGAAAUUCUUGGAUUUAUUGAAGACUAACUACUGCGAAAGCAUUUGCCAAGGAUGUUUUCAUUAAUCAAGAACGAAAGUUAGGGGAUCGAAGACGAUCAGAUACCGUCGUAGUCUUAACCAUAAACUAUGCCGACUAGGGAUCGGAUGAUGUUAAUUU